AUGGUCUUAGCUUGCUAAGGCCGAUGGCGACCGGCGCACGGGUGAGUAACGCGUAUCCAACCUGCCUUACACUCUUGGACAGCCUUCUGAAAGGGAGAUUAAUACAAGAUGUUAUCAUGAGUUCACAUGUCCGCAUGAUUAAAGGUAUUUUCCGGUAGACGAUGGGGAUGCGUUCCAUUAGAUAGUAGGCGGGGUAACGGCCCACCUAGUCAACGAUGGAUAGGGGUUCUGAGAGGAAGGUCCCCACAUUGGAACUGAGACACGGUCCAAACUCC
rnacentral:rRNA from 1 species